rnacentral:rRNA from 1 species
CCCUUAGAUGUUCUGGGCGGCCCGCGCACUACAUUGGCACUCUCAAUAAGUUCCUAGAUCUAAAACUUUGGGGUAUUCUAUUAAGUGGUGUCGUGACUGGGAUUAACCCUUGCAAUUAUUGGUUACGAACGAGGAAUUCCUUGUAAUCGCGGUUUAUCAGCCCGCGUUGAACGCGUCCCUGCCCUUUGUACACACCGCCCGUCGCUCCUACCGAUGAAUCGUCCGGUGAAGUUCAUGGAGUGGUGGUUGUUCCAGCUGCUGUCGAAGUGAAAUGGACCUCACGAUUUAGAGGAAGGAGAAGUCGUAACA